CGGCUAACUACGUGCCAGCAGCCGCGAUAAUACGUAGGGUGCGAGCGUUAAUCGGAAUUAUGGGCGUAAAGUGUGCGCAGGCGGUUCUGCAAGACAGAUGUGAAAUCCCCGGGCUCAACCUUGGAACUGCAUUUGUGACUGCAUAGGUGGAGUGCGGCAGAGGGGGAUGAAUUCCGCGUGUAGCAGUGAAAUGCGUAGAUAUGCGAGGAACACCGAUGGCGAAGGCAAUCCCCGGGGCCUGCACUGACGCUCAUGCAAGAAAGCGUGGGGAGCAAACAGGAUUAGAUACCUGGUAGUCCACGCCAUAAACGAUGUCAACUGGUUGUUGGGAAGGUUUCUUCUCAGUAACGUAGCUAACGCGUGAAGUUGACCGCCUGGGGAGUACGGCCGCAAGGUUGAAACUCAAAGGAAUUGACGGGGACCCGCACAAGCGGUGGAUGAUGUGGUUUAAUUCGACGCAACGCGAAAAACCUUACCUACCCUUGACAUGUCUGGAAUUUUGCAGAGAUGUGAAAGUGCUCGAAAGAGAACCAGAACACAGGUGCUGCAUGGCCGUCGUCUGCUCGUGUCGUGAGAUGUUGGGUUAAGUCCCGCAACGAGCGCAACACUUGUCAUUAGUUGCUACGAAAGGGCACUCUAAUGAGACUGCCGGUGACAAACCGGAGGAAGGUGGGGAUGACGUCAGGUCAUCAUGGCCCUUAUGGGUAGGGCUACACACGUCAUACAAUGGCCGGUACAGAGGGCUGCCAACCCGCGAGGGGGAGCCAAUCCCAGAAAACCGGUCGUAGACCGGAUCGCAGUCUGCAACUCGACUGCGUGAAGUCGGAAUCGCUAGUAAUCGCGGAUCAGCUUGCCGCGGUGAAUACGUUCCCGGGUCUUGUACACACCGCCCGUCACACCAUGGGAGCGGGUUCUGCCAGAAGUAGUUAGCCUAACAGAAAGGAGGGCGAUUACCACGGCAG
rnacentral:rRNA from 1 species